AGUGAACGCUGGCGGUAGGCCUAACACAUGCCAGUCGAACGGCAGCACAGUAAGAGCUUGCUCUUACGGGUGGCGAGUGGCGGACGGGUGAGGAAUACAUCGGAAUCUACUUUUUCGUGGGGGAUAACGUAGGGAAACUUACGCUAAUACCGCAUACGACCUACGGGUGAAAGCAGGGGAUCUUCGGACCUUGCGCGAUUGAAUGAGCCGAUGUCGGAUUAGCUAGUUGGCGGGGUAAAGGCCCACCAAGGCGACGAUCCGUAGCUGGUCUGAGAGGAUGAUCAGCCACACUGGAACUGAGACCCGCUGCAGCAUCAGAAGGAGAGCAGUAGGGGGAAAGAUGGGAGAAGGGGCGGAAGCGUGGUCCAGCCAUACGGCGGGGGUGAAGAAGGCCUGCGGGUUGGAACGCCUUUUGGUGGGGAAAGAAAAGCAGCAGCGUAACACGCGUCUGUGCGAACGGUAACCAAAAAAUAAGCACCGGCUAACGGGGGCCCAGCAGCCGGGGAAACAUGCGGAAGAGCACACGUCGGAAC
rnacentral:rRNA from 1 species